UAAGAAGGGCGCCAGCAGGCGGGUGCCAGCGAAGUCCGGGCUCGCUCGGGGCGCCCGGGACCAGAAAUUCUACACUUUUCUGUGUUCCUGGAAAGGGGAAGGAGAAAAUACAGUACAGGAGAACAGCGGGAAGAUUUAGAAAAUGAAAUUGAUGUUGCCAGAUAGCUCUGUUGUGUUCUCAUCUACAGCUACAUUUUCAGAGCAGUUUUAUAGCUGUUUAAUUUUUAUGCAUUUAUCUUAUGUUUCAAAAUGGUUAAAAUUUAUUAGGUCUAAUCAUAUCAGUUAACUUGCCUUAGAAGUAAAAAGGUAUGUAUGCAUUUUAGAGAUCAAGGUUUGUUCAUUGGUGCUUCUGUCUUGUAUGCUGGAAAUAAAAUAUUUGAAAAC